rnacentral:rRNA from 1 species
AGAGUUUGAUCCUGGCUCAGGAUGAACGCUAGCGGCAGGCUUAACACAUGCAAGUCGAGGGGCAGCAUAAUGGAUAGCAAUAUCUAUGGUGGCGACCGGCGCACGGGUGCGUAACGCGUAUGCAACCUACCUUUAACAGGGGGAUAACACUGAGAAAUUGGUACUAAUACCCCAUAAUAUCAUAGAAGGCAUCUUUUAUGGUUGAAAAUUCCGAUGGUUAGAGAUGGGCAUGCGUUGUAUUAGCUAGUUGGUGGGGUAACGGCUCACCAAGGCGACGAUACAUAGGGGGACUGAGAGGUUAACCCCCCACACUGGUACUGAGACACGGACCAGACUCCUACGGGAGGCAGCAGUGAGGAAUAUUGGUCAAUGGACGCAAGUCUGAACCAGCCAUGCCGCGUGCAGGAUGACGGCUCUAUGAGUUGUAAACUGCUUUUGUACGAGGGUAAACGCAGAUACGUGUAUCUGUCUGAAAGUAUCGUACGAAUAAGGAUCGGCUAACUCCGUGCCAGCAGCCGCGGUAAUACGGAGGAUUCAAGCGUUAUCCGGAUUUAUUGGGUUUAAAGGGUGCGUAGGCGGUUUGAUAAGUUAGAGGUGAAAUUUCAGGGCUCAACCCUGAACGUGCCUCUAAUACUGUUGAGCUAGAGAGUAGUUGCGGUAGGCGGAAUGUAUGGUGUAGCGGUGAAAUGCUUAGAGAUCAUACAGAACACCGAUUGCGAAGGCAGCUUACCAAACUAUAUCUGACGUUGAGGCACGAAAGCGUGGGGAGCAAACAGGAUUAGAUACCCUGGUAGUCCACGCAGUAAACGAUGAUAACUCGUUGUCGGCGAUACACAGUCGGUGACUAAGCGAAAGCGAUAAGUUAUCCACCUGGGGAGUACGUUCGCAAGAAUGAAACUCAAAGGAAUUGACGGGGGCCCGCACAAGCGGAGGAACAUGUGGUUUAAUUCGAUGAUACGCGAGGA